CACCCAUAUGGGUGUAAUUAAAAUGGCACUGUUUAAACAUAUAUAUAUUUUUUUUUUUUUUUUGUUUUCGUAGGAAGAAGUACAAUCGGUUUUAUAAGACAAUCGUGAGACGGGAAUAUUGUGACAUUGUUUUGUCACGCAGAUUACCACAUUAAACGUUUUUGCUUCGGGGUAUACAUCACGAAAUUAUAUCCCUAUAAUUUCACUUAAUGCUUCCUUUAGAAAGAAAUUAGAAAAAUACCCAUAAGGGAUAAAAUUUCACAAAGUUAAAAAUCAGGAAAUAAGGUGAUUCAUCUCGCGAUAGCGAUAAUUGGUAGAACAGAAAGUAAGCUUUCUUCAGAAACAAGUUCAUUUAGCAUAAGAGCGAUUAUGGGUUUAAAAGGUUCGAGAAGAGAUCAAAGAUCGCCACCAUCGUAUUAUCGCUAUAGGUAAAUAUUACUUAUAACUAAUAUUUUUAACAAAACUAAAAUAUUAAAUCAAAACAAAAACGAAUCUAUAUUUAGUUUAUCAUAUUUCCAACGCAUUUCUAACAGGAAAUGGCAACAAAGAUAAUAAAAAAAAAUUAUUUUUAUACUAACAUCAUAACAGGAAAACGACUAAGACGAUGUUUGGUGCAAAAUUUUGUUACUUCUCUCGCGUGAAGUAGGCUAAAUUCUCUUUUUUUUCGUGGAGUGAAACAUUCAGCCACGCUUAUAUAUAUAUAUAUAUACACGAGUAUUACACGUACAUAAAUUACGAAAAUGAUUAUUUGACGCGUGAUUACUUUAAUCGGAAGUCAUUCUUUUUUAACUUCAAGUCUGAUCAGAGGUCCAUGUUUCCGUUAAGGGAGACCAGAGUGGAACCCUACGGAAGCACGUGGCACAUGCACGUGGCCCUAAUAAUUGCUGCAGGGAAUUCUUAUUGAAACUAUAAUUAUCCAUUCUGUGAUACAUACGUGUGUGUGUGUGGACGUAUAUAUGUGGCAUGGUCAAGGCGAUGGGUCAUAUAGUUAGCCAUAUAUUUAUUUGUCAAUCUUGAUCAAUUGUAACUAUCAAAGGGCUCCGUUCUAAUUUAAUUUCCAUUAUGGGUAAUUAUAACAGCUAAGCGAAAGUAUACAGAAAUGAAUAAUAUCGAAGAGGUUAAUAUUCUUUUAUUUAAUGCGACUUAAUGGGGUUCUAGUUGAAUAAUUAAUUUAAAGAAUCUCUCUCUCUCUCUUCGUUCAAGCGAAAAAUAAAGAUGAGUUAACCAAUCACGGUUUGCUCGCGUCACGUAGAAAAAAAUAAAAUCAUGAUAUAUUGGACUAAUGUCAGCAACCAUCUUAAGGCCGGUGGUGGCCACCUGCACGUAACAAUAAAAUAAAAUAAAAAAAAUAUAUUCGCGAAUAUCCGAAAGCAUAGAAAUAAUUGUGGUUAUUCAAAAUGUUUUGACCUAUUUUAUAAUCUAGAUGUGCCGGAUGUUUAGUGAUUAUAGUUGGACGUUGUUUUCGGUAUGACUUGUGUCACAGGGUCAAUAGUUUGCACGCGUAUUCUUAAAACACAAGUAGCUAAGAAACUCGACCUCGAAGUUUCCUUUUCGUCAAAAAGUUCUCUCUCUCUCUCUGAUGCAUUAAUUAUGACAUAUUUUUUUAUUAUUAUCAUUAUUUUAAUGGGGGCACGACAAUCCAACCAGGAUCAUAAACCACGCCAAAAAUCAACUCGGUUUUAAGAGAAAAUUUGUUUAGCAUCUCGGUUAGUAACUGUAGGUAUUGUGGGCCGAGCCGUUCUAUUGACAAAACCAAGGUGUAAAGGUCCUCGACUGGUAACACGUAUCCACCUGCUUGAAAAACUCGCCGAAUCUAGGGCAGGGUCCACCUGCUUUUUAAAAGAACUCUAGUAGUAGUAUUUUUUUUUUUUUUUUUUUUUUAUGUAGACCCCUUACCAUUAGGGGAACUCCGAUUCGAUAACAAAAGGCGAAACAGAUGUUCAGGAGGUAAGUCUGAGCCGCCC
rnacentral:lncRNA from 1 species